ACGCGAAGAACCUUACCUGGGUUUGAACUUCAGUGGCAAGGCUCAGAGAUGAGUCCCUCCCUUCGGGGAUCGCUGGAGAGGUGCUGCAUGGCUGUCGUCAGCUCGUGUCGUGAGAUGUUGGGUUAAGUCCCGCAACGAGCGCAACCCUUGUCCAUAGUUACUAACGGGUCAUGCCGAGAACUCUAUGGAGACUGCCGGUGAUAAACCGGAGGAAGGUGGGGAUGACGUCAAGUCCUCAUGGCCUUUAUGUCCAGGGCUACACACGUGCUACAAUGGACGGCACAAAGAGUUGCAAAACCGCGAGGUUGAGCUAAUCUCAAAAAACCGUUCUCAGUUCGGAUUGCAGUCUGCAACUCGACUGCAUGAAGCUGGAAUCGCUAGUAAUCGCGGAUCAGCACGCCGCGGUGAAUACGUUCCCGGGCCUUGUA
rnacentral:rRNA from 1 species